rnacentral:rRNA from 1 species
CUACGGGCGGCAGCAGUAGGGAAUUUUGGACAAUGGGGGGAACCCUGAUCCAGCAAUGCCGCGUGAGUGAAGAAGGCCUUAGGGUUGUAAAACUCUUUUACUGAUGAAGAUGAUGACGGUAACCAGAGAAUAAGUCCCGGCAAACUUCGUGCCAGCAGCCGCGGUAAUACGAAGGGGACUAGCGUUGUUCGGAAUCACUGGGCGUAAAGCGCAAGUAGGUGGUAAUAUAAGUCAGAUGUGAAAUCCUUAAUCUCAAGUUAAGAAUGGCAUUUGAUACUGUAUUACUAGAGGAUAGAAGGGGAUAGUGGAAUUCCAAGUGUAGAGGUGAUAUUCGUAGAUAUUUGGAGGAACACCAGAAGCGAAGGCGUCUAUCUGGUCUAUACCUGACACUGAGUUGCGAAAGCAUGGGUAGCAAACAGGAUUAGAUACCCUGGUAGUC